rnacentral:rRNA from 1 species
CUACGGGGGGUGCAAGCGUUAUUCGGAUUUAUUGGGCGUAAAGAGCGCGUAGGCGGCUUGGUAAGUCAGAUGUGAAAGCCCGGGGCUCAACCCCGGAAGUGCAUUUGAAACUAUCAGGCUUGAGUAUGUGAGAGGGAAGUGGAAUUCCUGGUGUAGAGGUGAAAUUCGUAGAUAUCAGGAGGAACACCGGUGGCGAAGGCGACUUCCUGGACCAAUACUGACGCUGAGGCGCGAAGGCGUGGGGAGCAAACAGAAUUAGAAACCCCGGUAGUCC